rnacentral:rRNA from 1 species
GGGGAUAACCUGGGGAAACCCAGGCUAAUACCGCAUACGUCCUACGGGAGAAAGCAGGGGAUCUUCGGACCUUGCGCUAUCGGAUGAGCCUAUGUCGGAUUAGCUUGUUGGUGAGGUAAUGGCUCACCAAGGCGACGAUCCGUAGCUGGUCUGAGAGGAUGAUCAGCCACAUCGGGACUGAGACACGGCCCGAACUCCUACGGGAGGCAGCAGUGGGGAAUAUUGGACAAUGGGCGAAAGCCUGAUCCAGCCAUGCCGCGUGUGUGAAGAAGGCUUUCGGGUUGUAAAGCACUUUCAGUGAGGAAGAAGGCCUUGGGGCUAAUACCCCCGAGGAAGGACAUCACUCACAGCGGG